CGCGAAGUACACACCUGCAUAAGGAAACCAAUAAAGAGCAAUUAUUGUGUUUGCCUCUAAUAAUGUCACAUGCCCAUUGCCCAUAGAACUGAAGGCACCCAUUGCCCAUAGAACUGAAGGCACCUACUGUCUUAAUACAAUGAGCCACAUGAUAGUGUAGGCUAUACAAACAACUUAUGAAGCACCUACAAAUAUAGAAACCAUCAUAAAUAGAUGUAAAAACAUUCCAAGUUAAAACUAAUUAUUCUAGGACGUGGUAUCAAUUGUAAGAAAAUUUGGCGUUGAACUCUAGACUGUAGAAUUUCAGGCAAUCAAAUUGCUUACAAGUUGUAAAACAUAACACUUCGAAACCAUGUAACAGUUGGAUUUGGGAACAAUUUAUGAAGAGCUAUAAAAAUUUUGUUUCAAAAAUUAACUGUCUUAUUGCUGCAUAAAAUUUACACAUGUUCAAGAAAAUAGGUGGAGAAAAGAAACAAGAUAGUCUUUGGGGCUUCAUCUACAAAACUGUCCUAUGGGAUUUGAGAUAUGUUAGGGAGAGAAGUGAUUGUAGACUACUGAGGCCCUGUCAACCCUUAUUUCAUAAGUGUGUCAGCAUUGUUGUUUGCCUUAUAACUUAACUGAUACUUAGACAGAUUAACCAAACAAAAUGGUAGUUGGAAACUUUUAACAGCAACCUUCUCAGUACAAUGCCAAUCCCCAUCCAAAAUCUAUGUUUGGUGCUCUGGGAGGGGAAGCAUGCAGGGAUUUGCAAUUAAUUAUUCAUAUAUGUGCAUGUGUGACAAAUAGAAAUGUAUAGCAUGUGUAAGUAAUUGGAGGCAUUCAUUCACACACACACAUGAGCAUGCACAUACACGGCAAUAGAAGAGAGAGAGAGAGAGAGAGAGAGAGACCAGUCUGACUCAAUGAUACAACAUAUGAGGAACUAUAAACAUUUAUCAGCAUCACAUUGACACUAUCUAUAUCAGAGGCAAGCUAAAGCAUAAGGGAAAUUAAGAGAACUAAACAUGCUUACACAAUAAAAAGAUCUCCAAAAUUGUAAAUACCAAAAAGAAAUGGUGAUGAAUUCCCCUAUGAAUAUUUUUAACGCCAUUGUAU
rnacentral:lncRNA from 1 species